rnacentral:rRNA from 1 species
GUCGAGCGAGAAGACGUAGCAAUACGUUUGUAAAGCGGCGAACGGGUGAGGAAUACAUGGGUAACCUACCCUUGAGUGGGGAAUAACUAGCCGAAAGGUUAGCUAAUACCGCGUACGCUUCCUGGACUUCGGUUCAGGGAGGAAAGCGCUACCGUGGGUAGCGCGCUCUUGGAUGGGCUCAUGUCCUAUCAGCUUGUUGGUGAGGUAACGGCUCACCAAGGCUUCGACGGGUAGCUGGUCUGAGAGGACGAUCAGCCACACUGGCACUGCGACACGGGCCAGACUCCUACGGGAGGCAGCAGUAAGGAAUAUUGCGCAAUGGGCGAAAGCCUGACGCAGCGACGCCGCGUGGGGGAUGAAGGUCUUCGGAUUGUAAACCCCUUUCGGGAGGGAAGAUGGAAUGGGGUAACCCAUUCGGACGGUACCUCCAGAAGCAGCCACGGCUAACUUCGUGCCAGCAGCCGCGGUAAUACGAAGGUGGCAAGCGUUAUUCGGAUUUACUGGGCGUACAGGGAGCGUAGGCGGUUCGGUAAGCCCUUUGUGAAAUCUCCAGGCUUAACCUGGAAAAGUCGGAGGGGACUGCCGGGCUAGAGGACGGGAGAGGAGCGCGGAAUUCCCGGUGUAGCGGUGAAAUGCGUAGAGAUCGGGAGGAAGGCCGGUGGCGAAGGCGGCGCUCUGGAACGUUUCUGACGCUGAGGCU